rnacentral:rRNA from 1 species
UUCCGGUUGAUCCCGCCGGACCUGACUGCUAUCGGAUUGAUACUAAGCCAUGCGAGUCUUUGCAGUAAUGCAAGGCAUACGGCUCAGUAACACGUAGUCAACUUACCCUAUGGACGAGGAUAAUCUCGGGAAACUGAGCAUAAUACUCGAUAGAUCAUAAUGCCUGGAAUGGUUUAUGGUUGAAAUGAUUCGUCGCCAUAGGAUGGGACUGCGGCCUAUCAGCUUGUUGGUGAGGUAAUGGCCCACCAAGGCGAUUACAGGUACGGGCUCUGAGAGGAGAAGCCCGGAGAUGGGUACUGAGACAAGGACCCAGGCCCUAUGGGGCGCAGCAGGCGAGAAAACUUUGCAAUGUGCGAAAGCACGACAAGGUUAAUCCGAGUGAUUUCUGCUAAAGAAAUCUUUUGCAAGUCAUAAAACCACUAGUGAAUAAGGGGUGGGCAAGUUCUGGUGUCAGCCGCCGCGGUAAAACCAGCACCUCAAGUGGUCAGGAGGAUUAUUGGGCCUAAAGCAUCCGUAGCCGGCUCUGUAAGUUUUCGGUUAAAUCCAUGUGCUCAACGCAUGGGCUGCCGAAAAUACUGCAUAGCUAGGGAGUGGGAGAGGUAGACGGUACUCGGUAGGAAGGGGUAAAAUCCUUUGAUCUAUCGAUGACCACCUGUGGCGAAGGCGGUCUAUCAGAACACGUUCGACGGUGAGGGAUGAAAGCUGGGGGAGCAAACCGGAUUAGAUACCCGGGUAGUCCCAGCUGUAAACGAUGCAGACUCGAUGAUGCAUUGGCAUAUAGCCAGUGCAGUGUCGCAGGGAAGCCGUUAAGUCUGCCGCCUGGGAAGUACGUACGCAAGUAUGAAACUUAAAGGAAUUGGCGGGGGAGCACCACAAGGGGUGAAGCCUGCGGUUCAAUUGGAAUCAACGCCGGA